CUUUUGGAGUCUGUCAUCAGGCCAUCGCAUAUCAGCCAUAGUUUACAACCGGCAAAGGCAUUUAAGAACAAAGCUUCGGGUACCAGCAACUCAUCAUGUUCCUGACGCGCUCCGAGUAUGACCGGGGCGUGAACACCUUUUCGCCAGAAGGCCGGCUUUUCCAGGUGGAGUACGCCAUCGAGGCCAUCAAGCUGGGCUCGACGGCCAUCGGCAUCCAGACGUCCGAGGGCGUGGUGCUGGCC